rnacentral:tRNA from 1 species
CAGGAGGUAGUUUAAUAAGAAUGCUAGUUUUGGGGACUAGCGGUAGGGGUUUAAGUUCCCUUCUUUUGA